GAUUUUACAAAACAGAGUAAUAACCUGACUCUGUCCAUAUCAGAUGAAGGCAUCUAUCGCUGCAGAGGAAGAAGAGGAAACCCAGUUUUCUUCACAAACCUCAGCAAAGUGUAUCACAGUCAGAAAACAUUGUCCAACAGGGCCUUUGUGACUCUGCAACAGAACUGGACUCAGAUAUUCAGCGGUGAGAUGAUCACCAUCAAAUGUGAGAUCCAAGGAGGAGAAAACACUGAGUGGCAGUAUGAAUGGAGAACAACAAGCUCAAAAACACCUCCCACACACAGUGAAUACAACAUCAGCAGGGCUUCAUUUUCCUACAACGGGCAAUAUUGGUGUAAGGGUAGAAGAGACUUGUUCUUCUCAACAGCUUGGAGUGAUGCUUUUACACUAAAAGUCUCAAACAAACCCAGACCCACAAUUACUGCUGAUAGGAGAACAAUACCAGCUGGAGGCAAUGCAACACUCAGCUGCUCUGUGGGGAGCUACAAUGAGUGGAAAUACUUCUGGUUCAGACGCGCCUCAGUCUUUUCAGAAAUUCAGGUGAUUAGAAACGAAGAACCAGAUCAAAUGAUCACUGUCACACAGGGAGGCAUCUAAUACUGCAAGGGAGGGAGAGGAAACCCAGUUUUCUUCACAGAGGACAGUGAUCCAAUCACUAUUGAAAAAAGAGUUUCCAACAAAGCAGUUGUGUCCCUGGAGCCCAGCUGGCCUCUGAUAUUCAGUGGCGAGAAGAUCACUGUUAGACGUGAGAUUUAUUUAGGUAGAAGCACUGAGUGGCAGUAUGAAUGGAGCAAACCCGACUCAAGCACAGUUCUGGCAAAUAAUGCAUCCAUAGAUGUUAAUGCAUCUGUGAUCAGCAGUGGAAGCUACAGGUGUAUGGGUAAAAACAAACAGGAGCUGUACUCUGUGACAGAGUGGAGUGAUGUCAUCACACUGACAGUCUCUGGAAACAGACCAAAGGCCAGCAUCAGUGCUGACAGUAGAGUCCUUC
ensembl:lncRNA